rnacentral:rRNA from 1 species
UAAGCAGUAAGGCUGAGUAUUAGGCAAAUCCGGUACUCGUUAAGGCUGAGCUGUGAUGGGGAGAAGACAUUGUGUCUUCGAGUCGUUGAUUUCACACUGCCGAGAAAAGCCUCUAGAUAGAAAAUAGGUGCCCGUACCGCAAACCGACACAGGUAGUCAAGAUGAGAAUUCUAAGGUGAGCGAGCGAACUCUCGUUAAGGAACUCGGCAAAAUGACCCCGUAACUUCGGGAGAAGGGGUGCUCUUUAGGGUUAACGCCCAGAAGAGCCGCAGUGAAUAGGCCCAAGCGACUGUUUAUCAAAAACACAGGUCUCUGCUAAACCGUAAGGUGAUGUAUAGGGGCUGACGCCUGCCCGGUGCUGGAAGGUUAAGAGGAGUGGUUAGCUUCUGCGAAGCUACGAAUCGAAGCCCCAGUAAACGGCGGCCGUAACUAUAACGGUCCUAAGGUAGCGAAAUUCCUUGUCGGGUAAGUUCCGACCCGCACGAAAGGCGUAACGAUUUGGGCACUGUCUCAACGAGAGACUCGGUGAAAUCAUAGUACCUGUGAAGAUGCAGGUUACCCGCGACAGGACGGAAAGACCCCGUGGAGCUUUACUGUAGCCUGAUAUUGAAAUUCGGCACAGCUUGUACAGGAUAGGUAGGAGCCUUUGAAACGUGAGCGCUAGCUUACGUGGAGGCGCUGGUGGGAUACUACCCUAGCUGUGUUGGCUUUCUAACCCGCACCACUUA